UACGUAGGGUGCGAGCGUUGUCCGGAAUUACUGGGCGUAAAGAGCUCGUAGGUGGUUUGUCGCGUUGUUCGUGAAAACUCACAGCUCAACUGUGGGCGUGCGGGCGAUACGGUCGGCUUGAGGCCAGUAGGGGGAUGCGGAAUUCCGGGUGUAGUGGUGGAAUGCGUAGAGAUCCGGAGGAACACCAGCGGCGAAGGCGGCAUCCUGGACUGGUACUGACGCUCAUGAGCGAAAGCGAUGGGGAGCAAACAGGGAUU
rnacentral:rRNA from 1 species